rnacentral:rRNA from 1 species
AUUGAACGCUGGCGGCAGGCUUAACACAUGCAAGUCGAGCGGGGGAGGUUGCUUCGGUAACUGACCUAGCGGCGGACGGGUGAGUAAUGCUUAGGAAUCUGCCUAUUAGUGGGGGACAACAUUCCGAAAGGGAUGCUAAUACCGCAUACGCCCUACGGGGGAAAGCAGGGGAUCUUCGGACCUUGCGCUAAUAGAUGAGCCUAAGUCGGAUUAGCUAGUUGGCGGGGUAAAGGCCUACCAAGGCGACGAUCUGUAGCGGGUCUGAGAGGAUGAUCCGCCACACUGGGACUGAGACACGGCCCAGACGCCUACGGGAGGCAGCAGUGGGGAAUAUUGGACAAUGGGCGGAAGCCUGAUCCAGCCAUGCCGCGUGUGUGAAGAAGGCCUUUUGGUUGUAAAGCACUUUAAGCGAGGAGGAGGCUCUUAAGGUUAAUACCCUUGAUGAGUGGACGUUACUCGCAGAAUAAGCACCGGCUAACUCUGUGCCAGCCGCCGCGGUAAAAC